rnacentral:rRNA from 1 species
GAAUAUUAGUCAAUGCUCGAAAGAGUGAACUAGCUAACUGAAAUCAAUAAUAAAAAAUUGAUAACAUAAGGGAAAAUAAUGAUAUUACCUUAUUAUUAGUGUCGUCCAAAACUGGUGCCAGAAGACUCGGUAAGGCCAGAGACAUAAACGUUAAUCGUCUUAAUCAGGCGUAAAGGGUUUGUAGGCGGCUUUAAAAUUUACUAAAAAAUAAAUAAAAUAAUAAGUAAAGAAUAAAAGCUAGAAUCAAAUAGAGGAUAUAUGAAAGAAUGCUUAGAGUAGGUCUGAUAUCCUUAGAUACUAAGUAGAAUAUUAAAGGCGAAAGCUUUUUUCCAUUAAUGAUUGACGCUCAGAAACGAAGGUGAGGAUAGGAAAUAGGAUUAGAUACCCAGAAUACCCCUCUCUGUCAACGAUGAAUGGUAGUUAUUAGUAAAAAUUUAUUAAUGGCAAUGUUAACACGAUAACCAUUCCGCCUUGUGAGUACAACUGCAAAGUUGAAAACAAAAAAAUUAGUCGGUUUCGGAGCAAACGAAGUGAAGCAUGUUAUUUAAUUC